rnacentral:rRNA from 1 species
AAAAUAAAAAUUAAUAAAUAUAAAUUUAAUAAAAAUAAUUUUAAUAUUAAAAUAAAUAAUGGGGGUUAAAGUAUUUUAAUAGAAAAAAUUAUAAAAUUUAUAGUAAAUUAGUAUAGUAAUAGAAAUUUGAAAUAAUUGAAAAUUAAUUUUUGGAAAAGUAAAUUUAAAUUAUUGUAUCUUGUGUAUCAGAGUUUAUUAAAUAAUAUUUUUAAUUAAAAAUAUCUCGAAUUUAAAAGAGUUAAUUAAUUAAUAAAUUUAGUGUGAAAUAAUUAUUUUAAAUAAUUAAUUUGAAAUGAAAUGUUAAUCGUUUUUAAAUAUAUCUAGUUAUUUUAGAAAAAAAUUUAAUUUUAAAUUUAUUUAUAAAAAUAUAUUAAGUUAAUUAAUAUAAAAAAAAAUAAAUUUUAUAAUUUAAGGGACAAGCUUUAAAUUAAAAAAUUAUAAUAUAUAUAUAUAUAAAAAAUAAAAUUUUUAAAAUUUAUAUUGUUUAAAAAUUAUAAUUUAUUAUAAAAAAUUUUAAUAAAAAUAAAAUUUAAAAGUAAUUUAAUUUUUUAUAAAAAUAUAAUUUAUAAUAAAAAAAUGUUAGAAAAAAUGAUAAAAUUAGUAUAAAAUAAAUUUAAAAAUAAAAAUAAAUUUAAAUUAAUUGCAAGGAAUUCGGCAAAUAUAUAUAUUCACCUGUUUAACAAAAACAUGUCUUUUUGAAAAAUAAUUUAAAGUCUAAUCUGCCCACUGAUUUAAAAUUAAAGGGCUGCAGUAUAUUGACUGUACAAAGGUAGCAUAAUCAUUAGUCUUUUAAUUGAAGACUUGUAUGAAAGAUUUGAUGAAAUAUGAACUGUCUCUUAAUUAUUAUUAAAAUUUAAUUUUUUAGUUAAAAAGCUAAAAUAUAAUUAAAAGACGAGAAGACCCUAUAGAGUUUUAUAAUUAUAUAUUUAAUAUAUUUAUAUAAAAUUUUAAUAUUUUAAUUAAAUAAUUAUUUUAUUGGGGUGAUAAAAAAAUUAAUUAAACUUUUUUAAAAAAUAAACAAAAAUAAUUGAAUAAAUGAUCCAUAAUUAGUGAUUAAAAGAAAAAAUUACCUUAGGGAUAACAGCGUAAUAUUUUUUUUUAGUACAAAUAAAAAAAAAAGUUUGCGACCUCGAUGUUGGAUUAAGAUAAAAUUUAAAUGCAAAAGUUUAAAAUUUUGAUCUGUUCGAUCAUUAAAAUCUUACAUGAUCUGAGUUCAAACCGGUGUAAGCCAGGUUGGUUUCUAUCUUUAAUAAAAUAAAAUAUUUUA